UUUACCACACUCCAAAUGCUAUUCCUGAUUCAUCCUUUCAGAAAUAUGCACAAAUCCCACAGCACUGAUGCUUUUAUGCUUAAAGAGGGCACAGUAUUUCCUCACUUUCCUCCUCUGCUGCCACCACGUGGACAUAUCUCAGUGUUCAUUAAGUUUUUCACAGGACAAUAGCCCUGCCUCCAUAGAUCACAAGUGAUCCUGUAUACUAAGGAGAAAUCCAGGACACACAACUGUUUGGAAUUGCCAUAAUUUUCACCAUCAAAAUCCUUGUUGC